GACGAACGCUGGCGGCGUGCUUAACACAUGCAAGUCGAACGGAAAGGCCCUGCUUUUGUGGGGUGCUCGAGUGGCGAACGGGUGAGUAACACGUGAGUAACCUGCCCUUGACUUUGGGAUAACUUCAGGAAACUGGGGCUAAUACCGGAUAGGAGCUCCUGCUGCAUGGUGGGGGUUGGAAAGUUUCGGCGGUUGGGGAUGGACUCGCGGCUUAUCAGCUUGUUGGUGGGGUAGUGGCUUACCAAGGCUUUGACGGGUAGCCGGCCUGAGAGAGUGACCGGCCACAUUGAGACUGAGAUACGGCCCAGACUCCUACGGGAGGCAGCAGUGGGGAAUAUUGCACAAUGGGCGGAAGCCUGAUGCAGCAACGCCGCGUGCGGGAUGACGGCCUUCGGGUUGUAAACCGCUUUCGCCUGUGACGAAGCGUGAGUGACGGUAAUGGGUAAAGAAGCACCGGCUAACUACGUG
rnacentral:rRNA from 1 species